UUUGAUGUUCUCAACAAACUUGAUAAAAAUAAAAAAGCAAAGAAGAAAGGCCUCAUAGUAAAACUUUAGAAAAUAUGAACCAAAGGGUAAUUCUUCAAAUUUAACCAGGUCCCCACAUAAAAUUCCCUUUAUUUUUAACAUCAUCUAACAAUUCUAAAGUAAAUCAUAAAAUAGUAAAAACGAAGAAAUCUCUUCUAUGGAGACCAUUUGCCAGAGGAAGCAGGUACAUAACGUGCUCCUGCAGGAGUACACGCUCAACUUAUAAUCAUAUGUAUCAAUUUAGGUUUCAAAUGGGGUUUUCAAAUUGGGUGGGUUGGGGUUACCUUAUACACAAAAGAUGU
rnacentral:lncRNA from 1 species